UCUCAGUUCGUCUAGUGGUUAGGAUACGGGCUUGUCACGCCUGUGACCGGGGUUCAAUUCCCCGACUGAGAG